rnacentral:rRNA from 1 species
GACGAACGCUGGCGGCGUGCCUAAUACAUGCAAGUUGAGCGCUGAAGGUUGGUACUUGUACCCACUGGAUGAGCAGCGAACGGGUGAGUAACGCGUGGGGAAUCUGCCUUUGAGCGGGGGACAACAUUUGGAAACGAAUGCUAAUACCGCAUAAAAACUUUAAACACAAGUUUUAAGUUUGAAAGAUGCAAUUGCAUCACUCAAAGAUGAUCCCGCGUUGUAUUAGCUAGUUGGUGAGGUAAAGGCUCACCAAGGCGAUGAUACAUAGCCGACCUGAGAGGGUGAUCGGCCACAUUGGGACUGAGACACGGCCCAAACUUCUACGGGAGGCAGCAGUAGGGAAUCUUCGGCAAUGGACGAAAGGCUGACCGAGCAACGCCGCGUGAGAGAAGAAGGGUUUCGGAUCGGAAAACUCUGUUGGUAGAGAAGAAAGUUGGUGAGAGUGGAAAGCUCAUCAAGUGACGGUAACUACCCAGAAAGGGACGGCUAACUACGUG